CGGCGGACGGGUGAGUAACGCGUGGGUAACCUACCCUGUACACACGGACAACAUACCGAAAGGUAUGCUAAUACGGGAUAAUAUAUUUGAGAGGCAUCUCUUGAAUAUCAAAGGUGAGCCAGUACAGGAUGGACCCGCGUCUGAUUAGCUAGUUGGUAAGGUAACGGCUUACCAAGGCGACGAUCAGUAGCCGACCUGAGAGGGUGAUCGGCCACAUUGGAACUGAGACACGGUCCAA
rnacentral:rRNA from 1 species